UCUCCGUUCCUUUUCUUUCCCCUUCUCUCCGGUGCCGAGAAAGAACCCAGCCACCACCAGUGCCAUUUUCUUCACAAUUCAACCCCAAAUCUUGAUAUUCUAAACCUAUGGGACUCGGGGAACAAGAUUAUGGUCUUGCAUGCAUCAUCGGGGCAUUGUGAAGUGAAUCACCAUUGAUGCCGUGAGCUUUGAAGCUCUCAAAUUCGAACCCAGGUGAAGUUGCUAGUGGAGACUUCCUUAAUCUUUUUCCACACAAUUCUGCUGCUUCGGAGUAUCUGUCUUAGAAACGAGGCAUAGAAUCCCGGCAUUAAGGUACUUCCGCAGCGGCAUCUUCGAGUCCUCUCGGGCUUUUGUAUCAAUUAAUGGCUUUCGUCACCCUCGGGUGUCGGGCAGCACGUGCCUAUCCUGGUAUUCAGGUAAUAUCAGGGUUGGGGCGUGUCAUUUACAUAGCUCUAGCUUCAAAAGCUUCAUUUACAAAAGCUCUAACU